rnacentral:rRNA from 1 species
GAUGAACGCUGGCGGCGUGCCUAAUACAUGCAAGUCGAACGAAACUUCUUUAUCACCGAGUGCUUGCGCUCACCGAUAAAGAGUUGAGUGGCGAACGGGUGAGUAACACGUGGGCAACCUGCCCAAAAGAGGGGGAUAACACUUGGAAACAGGUGCUAAUACCGCAUAACCAUAGUUACCGCAUGGUAACUAUGUAAAAGGUGGCUAUACUACCGCUUUUGGAUGGGCCAGCGGCGCAUUAGCUAGUUGGUAGGGUAAAGGCUUACCAAGGCAAUGAUGCGUAGCCGAAUUGAGAGGUUGAUCGGCCACAUUGGGACUGAGACACGGCCCAAACUCCUACGGGAGGCAGCAGUAGGGAAUCUUCCACAAUGGGCGAAAGCCUGAUGGAGCAACGCCGCGUGGGUGAAGAAGGUCUUCGGAUCGUAAAACCCUGUUGCUAGAGAAGAAAGUGCGUGAGAGUAACUGUUCACGUUUCGACGGUAUCUAACCAGAAAGCCACGGCUAACUACGUG